rnacentral:rRNA from 1 species
AUUGAACGCUGGCGGCAGGCUUAACACAUGCAAGUCGAGCGAGCGGCGGACGUGUGAGAAAUGUCUGGGAAACUGCCUGACGGAGGGGGAUAACUACUGGAAACGGUAGCUAAUACCGCAUACCAUCAGAUGUGCCCAGAUGGGAUUAGCUAGGAGGUGGGGUAAUGGCUCACCUAGGCGCCGAUCCCUAGCUGGUCUGAGAGGAUGCCCAGCCACACUGAAACUGAGACACGUGCCAUACUCCUAAGGGAGGCAGCAGAGGUGAAUAUUGCACAAUGGGCGCAAGCCUGAUGGAGCCAUGCCGGGUGUGGGAAGAAGGCCUGCGGGUUGUAAAGCACUUUCAGCGAGGAGGCGUUACUCGCAGAAGAAGCACCGGCUAACUCCGUGCCAGCAGCCGCGGUAAUUC